CUUGAUUUAACUGCUUAAUGUGAGUUCUAGGGCCCUUUUGUUUGCCAAACCAAAAAUGCCAACAGUGUUGUUGGAAAACAUUGUAAAUGUGUGAGUGUUAUCAUUACUAUCGUUGACAGCCGAUAAAAUGUAAAUAAUUAUCAAAUGAUUGUGAUUGACGGUUUUAAAACACAUUCACAUAAGGGCUUUUUGGCAUCUUUAACUAAGGGGUAAAUUAUAAUCCAUAUCAGUAUCUGGUCAACAACGUUUUAUAUAUUUAGUUUGGCAUUGCAUGUUUUCAGUGUAAUUACAAUGCAAAAAUGUCAAGUUGAUUGUUUGUUU